CCGGCGUCUAAGGUAGGCUUCCGCUACGUUACCUUACUGAUGAGUCCAGUAGUGGAAGCCGGGACGAAACGCCAA
rnacentral:hammerhead_ribozyme from 15 species